AACGAACGCUGGCGGCAUGCCUAACACAUGCAAGUCGAACGGCCCUGCAAGGGGAGUGGCGAACGGGUGAGUAACGCGUGGGAACCUACCUAGCGAUGGGGGAUAACCGAGGGAAACUUCGGCUAAUACCGCAUACGCCCCUACGGGGGGAAAGAUUUAUCGUCGUUGGAGGGGCCCGCGUCCGAUUAGCUAGUUGGUGAGGUAAUGGCUCACCAAGGCAUCGAUCGGUAGCUGGUCUGAGAGGAUGAUCAGCCACACUGGGACUGCGACACGGCCCAGACUCCUACGGGAGGCAGCAGUGGGGAAUAUUGGACAAUGGGGGCAACCCUGAUCCAGCAAUGCCGCGUGAGUGAUGAAGGCCUUAGGGUUGUAAAGCUUCUUUUACCAGGGACGAUGAUGACGGUA
rnacentral:rRNA from 1 species